rnacentral:rRNA from 1 species
UACGUAGGGGGCAAGCGUUGUCCGGAUUUAUUGGGCGUAAAGAGCUCGUAGGUGGUUCGGUAAGUCGGAUGUGAAAUCUCCAGGCUCAACCUGGAGGGGUCAUUCGAUACUGCCGUGACUAGAGGUCGGUAGGGGAGUGUGGAAUUCCUGGUGGAGCGGUGAAAUGCGCAGAUAUCAGGAGGAACACCCGUAGCGAAGGCGGCACUCUGGGCCGAUACUGACACUGAGGAGCGAAAGCGUAAGGAGCGAACAGG